AUUUACUGUGAGACCAUUGGACUUACAAGGAAAAACAGGCACAUCAGGAAGAAUCCAAACAUCCCAAAUGUCUGCAUGUCUGACACUUUGUGCUCAAAGGAAGCCACAACAGCCCCUCCCCUCUGCCGCGAGUGCAACUCUGCUAUCAUCACUGAGUUAUCAGCAAAAGGGUCUCAAAAACUCAGGAGACAGCUAAACGCCCACAAAGCAGAUGCAUUCCAGACUCAACAACACGCACGCAUGUUUAAGUCAUUUGCGGAAACAUGGGAAAAACAUGGGCGACAGUCACAUAGGAAUAAGGAAAAGAGCAAUGUCAGGGUUAAAAGUUUUUAUUUUACUGUAGUGCUACAGUGUGCAACAAGUGUGAAUGAAAAAAUUGAGCAUCAUUGUGAGCGGAAUAGGUUUUGUUCAAUAUAAUAAAAUCAAAGUGGCAUAUACAAUCCAAGAAAAUGGCCAUUGAGUAUAAAAAAAAAGAGGAAAAUCAUGAAGAAAAAAAACUGUAAAAAAUACAUAAAAUCAUUCAUCAGUCGACUUUCAUCGCUAAAAUUUGCUCCCGUUGGGAUCGCCACUAGUGGCAAUGGACUGAAAGGUUACAGAUAAUUGGAAAAAAAAAAAUUAACAAGAUGGCAGUCAUGGCUUUGCUUUUUUAGCGGAACUCAAAAUACGCACGUAGAAAAAGCACGAAUGGCAGCCUUGCUUUGCGAGCACUGUUUAAAAUUUUGGCUGUGUUUAAAUUCAUUAAAAAAAAAAAGUGUGUGUGCACACUAGACACUAGAAACUUUCUGGUGCGCACCAGAUACUUUUCUAUCUUUGAAGUUCCAUUUUAUAGGCCCAAACUGCCUUCGCGCAUCAGACACCUACGGAGCCUAUAA